CGAACUUGACAUGGGAAAAGUCCGUAAAGAGAGAUCUAAAGGAUUGGAGCAUCACCAAAGAACUAACCAUGGACAGGGGGUGCGUGGAAGCUUGCUAUCCAUGUGCCAGAACCAUGAGUUGGUCGUGAGAUCUUAUGGGUUUCACCUCUAGCCUACCCCAACUUGUUUGGGACUAAAGGCUUUGUCGUUGUUGUUGUUGAAACAGCAAACUGACAUGUAUCAGCGCAUUUCUUUAUCUACUGCUUUCAGGUAGUCAUUACGGAUGAUAGAUCAAUACUUAUUUCCUUUGCUACUGAUUCCUCUGAGCAUCCCUGUCUCACAAAUUUUGCAAUGACACUGCUCUGUUGUACUUUUCCUUACUCAAUGUUUCUUUCCUUUUCUACUGAUUACUUUCAGCAUGCCUCUGUAACUUAACUUGAUGCUUUACAUUCAGAGGCGCGGAAUUACUGAUGCUUAUCAUUCAUAAGUUGAUGCUACCACUACAUGUAAAUAUAAAUACAGCUCUCUACUAUUGAAAAUCAUGCAUGAUCAUUUAUCAGCUCAUAUUAUCAUGAUCACACUUUCUUAGCACAAUCUCAUCUCAUAGCAAUAGUAUACAUACAUUUUCUUGUCUGAUAAAUUUUUACAAAUAUUUCACGCACAAUAGAAAUAAUAGAAUAUGUAUGUCCCUGUUACCCCUGUUCUACAUGCAAACUGCAAGUUCGUACUUGGAGUUUCAUUACGUGCUAUGACACCCU
rnacentral:lncRNA from 1 species